AGCGCAGGCGGUUCGUUAAGUCUGGAGUGAAAGCCCGGGGCUCAACCCCGGAGGGUCUUCGGAUACUGACGAACUCGAGUACGGAAGAGGAGAGUGGAAUUCCAGGUGUAGCGGUGAAAUGCGUAGAUAUCUGGAGGAACACCGGUGGCGAAAGCGGCUCUCUGGUCCGAUACUGACGCUCAGGCUCGAAAGCGUGGGGAGCAAACG
rnacentral:rRNA from 1 species